UAAAAGGAAGGAAAGAUUUGUUCUGGAAAAUCAGAGUUUCUUUUAUAGUCAACAAGCCUUCCUGACAUAAUGCUGAGGCAAAGGGGCUAAUGUGGUUUUUGACAGAGUAAUUGGAGAUAGUUACAUAAAAUCGGAUGAUUCAUCUCAUGUGACCUCUACACUCAGUACUGUCUGACAUUAGAGAAUUACAUUUUUUGCAUCUUUUAUGAAACUGUAGAUUAUGAAGGGUGAAUAUUUGGAAUUAAUUCCUUCAACUGAGAAUUUACUUUACAUCAGUCUUUCCCAUUUACCAGAAAAAAAAACAGAAUCACAGAACAUUUCUUGAGCUCUGUCAAGCUUGUUCAGGAGUUCAGUUGAUUAUCUUGUGGGGUACACUACAACAACAGAGCAGUACUUGAUAAGCAGCAGAUUUGAGUUGAGAAGGGAGUAUAAUAUGCUUUGGGUAGAAUAUGGAGCUGGAUGUGUUUUGGAAUUUUUUUAUGUUCAGGCUACUGAAUGAUGGAAUAUGGUGAGUUUGAACUCUUCCUUUUGUCUUCAGAAGACAUUUUUGGUAGAUAUUUACUGAAACCCAAGUCACUGAGCUCAAGGCAUAGUGAGAAAAGGGUAAGUGUAAUGACUCAUCAUCUGUAGAAGACUGGACAAAAUCUGACGGCUCCUCAGUCUGCAUGCUAUGGAUUUUCAUAUCUGAGUCACACAUCUAUUUAAGUUCAUUAGCUUCAGUCUGUGCCUUGAUAUUUAAGGGGUGAUGGGAAGCAGUUGCUUUUUCAUUCCUCUCUUGAUUUUUGAGGCAACUAAAGAAAACAACAUUAGUUACUUUUUGUUCUUCAGUCAAAUCCCAGUGUUAAUGGCAAACAGGGGUCACAUUUUGAGUUGCCAUGGCAUGACUACUUCUGCGGAUAAUGGAAAUCAUCUCUGUUCUGCCUAGUAGUCUGGUGAAGGAGGGUAAGGUAUAUCUCUGGUAUGCUGCAGUUAGUUGCUUUGCCUGGGGUUGAGGCAGAGAGUAGGACACAUAGAAGCAUGAUCUGGUGGCUUAUAUGAAUUAUAGUAAUACAGAUGCUAAUUUAAGGCAGUCUAAAGCUGUGUACUCCUGCUUUCUGUGAACUUUUUACACUUUAUAGCUGAUUUGAAAUCACUUCAAGGUUCUCUGAAACUAGUGGUGACUGAGAGAGAAGCUUCUGGCAAUCAUUCGUGAGCUUUCUUGCUGAACAGAGGAAGAACUGACCUUGAUAAUUCUAGGCAGACUCCAAAGUUGGUUUUCAGACAUUAAAAACCCUGCGAUGAGAACAAUAUCUUGGCAUUGGAGUGGCUGAUAAUAUAUCCUGUGAAUUUUGCAGCAGCUAGCUGAAAUGCCUGGUAUGUUUUGGAGUGAGAGGCCUGCUUCUCAAGAUGUCACACCAGUGUGUAAGCCUCAGCUAGCAACCUCUUCAAUCUGCAUCCAGAAAGGCUGUACAAACUUACCUCAUCCAUACACUUACUUCAAACAAGAAAUUUGUGUGAAUGGAAAUACACAGCUAUUCUUAGGUUCUUUUGGGAUGCUGUCAACCAAGCAUAUCCUAAACCUUCAAAGGAUUCUAAUGCCUUUACCCAGUAUGUGUUUCUGAAUUUCUGCACAUAGAAUUAAACAGAGAAAACAUGAACCCAUUUCUCUUCUUAGCAUCAGAGCAUGGUAGAUUGUGAGACAGAUAAACAAAAUGGCGAUUUUUCUGGCAAAAUUCAGUUUCUUUUUUCAUACUUUGGGGCAAGAAGAGGGUGUGGUUGAUUGACCCUGCCUGGUUGGCAGGUGCCCACCACAGCUGCUCUGUUUCUCUAUUUUCCCUACUGGGCAGGACAGAGAACAUAUAACAAAAGGCUCAUGGAUCAAGAUAAGGCUAGGGACAGAUAACGCACAAAUUACUGCCAUGGGCAAAAGAGUCUUGACCCCAAAAAAUUA